CUUUUAAGUAUUGUGUUCAUUUUCUCUCUUGCUUUUUAAAAAAUCUUGUAAUUAGAUCGGCAAUCGCAAAUUGUACUUUUUACAUGACCGAUUGCCCCAAAUUAACAUCAUCGUUGGUAUAUAUCUUUUAAAAACCGUCCCAAACUACAAAGAAUUAGCAAUUUCCUCAUUAAUAUGCAAUUUCUAACUGAUUGCGAAAGCAAACGCAAAGGUAAACAACAUGGCCGAUGUACAAGGUAUGUCGGCACGAGAGAACCGCACUGCCUAAUAAAUCAAUAUUUAAGCUAUGUAUAUCGUAAUGCUAUAGAGACAUGUUAUUUAAAUAUAUGGACUGAUCAAUUUCUCUGUCAGAACCAAAUUUUUCGUGUGACAAUGUCGUCGGAGAAGGUCCUUUAUAAACUAGACCAACCUCAUGGCACUGGUAGUGUCCAUAUUUCUUGGCGACCUGGAAACAGCACACACUUAGCCACAACAGGUUGUGAUUCUACAGUUGCCAUCUACGAUAGGCAAGGAGAUAUUCAAGACCGAAUACAGAUUUCUGGAUUAUGCACUGGCUUCGGUUGGGACUCGGACGGAGAUCUCCUAGCAAUAACAUCGCAGAACUCAUCAGUUAUAAUACUAUGGGACGCCACAACCGGCAAAAAAUUUCAAAUAGAUGCAGGUGUAAGAGAUGGACUGACCUGUAUGAUGUGGGCAAAGAAGAGCUGUUUGUUAGCAAUAGGAACCCAAAAAGGAAAUUUAGUGCUUUACGAUCACAUAAAUGCCAGACGAAUACCUAUUUUGGGAAAGCACAAAAAACGCAUUUUAUGCGGCGCAUGGUCAAUAGACGGUCUUCUUGCCUUGGCGAGCGAGGAUAAGGUUUUAAGUAUCAGCACAAGCGAAGGAGAUACCCGUCGAGAGAUAACUCUUCAAGGUGAUCCGUCACAUAUACAAUUUAGCGAGAUGAAGAUGGAUCAUAGGAUAGGCGGUGAAAAUACGGUAUCCCUUAUCGUUAGCAAAACGACGUUAUUCUUGUACAACAUUUUGGACCCAGAAAAUCCUAUUGAACUGGCUUUUCAGAAACGUUAUGGAUCAAUUGUAACUUAUAAGUGGUACGGUGAUGGUUACAUAUUGGUAGGAUUCGAAGCUGGCUUCUUUAUAGCAAUAUCGACGCAUAUAAAGGAAGUUGGCCAAGAAUUGUUUCAAAUUAAAAACCACAGAGAUACUUUGACAGAUAUCGCGUUGAGUCAAGUGGGCGGAAAGGUGGCAACUUGCGGCGAUAAUGCCCUGAAGGUGCACAGUUUGCAAAAUCUUGAAGAAACCGAAACACAGAUCACGAUAAUCGGCGAAAGUGGGAUCAGCAAUAUCGAAUGGUCGACGGAUGGAACUAUGCUGGCAGUUGUUACUUACACCGGCAAUGUCUUAAUUUAUUUAAUAGAAAUCCCAAAAUUAACCAGCGUUUGUGGUAACAGAAUAGCGUUACUAACAAGCCUGAUGGAAGUAGCUGUACAUCUUUAUACAUUAGACAAGGACAAACCAUCUCCGCAAGUAAUCAACACUAUUAUAGAACCAGCCAUACUAGCAGUAGGUCCAGCGCAUUUAGCAGUAGGAUUAAACAACAGAGCGCUUUUUUGGGAUUUGUCUACGAGCCAUUAUAACAAUAUACAUUUCGAGAGGGACUAUUUGGCUACGGUGGAUAGUAUGCGUUUGAAUGAGAUAUACGUAUCCGCGCUAUUCGAUGGGAAGCUACAGUUGCAUUCGAUUAAAUCCGAUGAGACUUUAAUAAAUAAUGGAAAGGAUACAAAGAUGUUUCCAGACUUAAAUUCUUCCCAUAGUAGAAUAACGUGUCACGCUCUCUGUUCAGAUUUCUUGGUUUACGGUAAUGACAUGGGUCACAUCGUCUAUUUUUACUUGGAGACGUUCACUCAAUGUACCGAAUUUAUACAUAACAACGGAAUAAAGGAAUUAUACUUAGAUGCGAAUGGAACACAGUUGUGCUUCGUCGACAAUAAGUCAGAUGUUUACGUGUUCGAUCCGAUAAACGAAGCAGCCAUUGCAGUGCCAGAUUAUCCUGAUAAUAUUGACGGUAUUCUCUGGGAUCAGAAUAUAUUCGAACGUGCUAUAUUUGCAGUAUACAACAAAAGCGUUAUUGUAACGUAUAUUUUUGUAAAAUACUUCGUUGAAGGUACCAAGGUAAUAAAAAUUAAUUCAACUAAAUUGCCAUUGGAUUCAAUUCCUUUACUGAUGUAUUCUGGCGAGAUAACGUUGAGUUCAGUGGGCAGCAAAUUAAUACAAAUAACAUUAACUUCCCACGAAGAUGUUGGGAAUAUCGUAGAGACCAAAAAAAUUAACGACAUUUUCGAUAAUCAGAUCUUGUGUAGACGGUUUCAACAAGCGUGGAACAGUUGUGAGAAAUUAAACGAGAAAGAUGCAUGGCUAAAACUGGGUCAAAGCGCUAUUGCAAAUUUAAAUGUGGAAUUUGCUAUUCGCGUGUAUCGGCAAAUAGAAGAUGCUGCAAUGGUGUGGGCGUUGCAAAGUAUGGAAAAUAUAGACGAGAUAGCAUUGCUAUGUGGCCAUGCUUGCUUACUACUUGGCGAUUACAACGAAGCAGAAAAGUACUUUUUGCAAUCGUCCGAACCCGUCCAGGCUUUGUACUUAAGGAGAGACUUAAUGCAAUGGGAACAAGCGUUGAGUUUGGCACAGAAAUUAAAACCCGACGAAAUCCCUUUUAUCGCCAGAGAGUACGCCCAGCAGUUGGAAUUCACUGGGAACUAUCCGAAAGCUUUAACAAAUUACGAACGCGGUCUGGUUGAUUACAACACCUCAGCAACUUUAGCUGCGCAGAAUCCUAAUCACCGAAGCCAAUGUUUAGCGGGAAUAGCGAGAAUGUCUAUAAGAUGCGGCGAUAGUAGAAAAGGCGUUGGUAUAGCGAUGGAUAACGAGAACUCGAGAUUAUUACGGAAAGAAUGUGCGGAGAUUUUAGAAUCGAUGAAGCAAUUUAGCGAAGCUGCCCAAUUAUACGAGAGAUCUGAAUACUUCGACAAAGCUGCUUCUGCGUACAUAAAGUUAAAGAACUGGCACAAAGUGGGGCAGCUUUUGCCGCAAAUAUCGUCGGCAAAAAUUAACAUACAAUACGCUAAAGCCAAAGAGUCGGAGGGCAAAUACGAGGAAGCUGCGAAAGCAUAUGAAACCGCCAAGGAUUACGAUAACAUAAUUAGAAUUAAUCUGGAACAUUUGAACAAUCCCGCUCGUAGCGUUGAAGUUGUUCAACAAACCAAGAGUAUAGAAGGUGCGAAGAUGGUCGCGAAAUAUUUCCAAAAGAUGAAUGAUUACAAUACAGCUAUCAAAUUCCUAAUUUUAUCAAAUUGUCACGACGAAGCCUUUCAACUAGCCAAUCAGCACGGCAAAAUGGAAUUGUAUGGAGAAAUCUUGGUGAACACGAUCGAUGACACUAACGUUCGAAGGGAAGACUUUAGGAGUCUCGCGAUGCAUUUUGAGUCUCAGAAAAAUAAUCUUCUAGCCGGAAAAUAUUACUUCCACGCCAAAGAGUAUCAGAAAGCCAUGCGACAUUUGUUAAAAGCUGCGCAACUAGUACCGGACGAUGAUAAAGCGAUUACUUAUGCCAUAGAUACUGUCGCAUCAUCUAAGGAUGAUAAAUUAGCCAAUCAAUUAAUAGAUUUUUUAUUAGGAAGCGACGGGUUGCCAAAGGAUCCAAAAUACCUAUUCCGAUUGUACAUGGCUCGAAAGCAAUAUAAAGAAGCAGCUAAAACAGCGAUUAUAAUUGCGAAUGAGGAGCAAAUUAGUGGAAAUUACCGAAACGCUCACGACGUCCUGUUUGGAAUGUACCAAGAAUUGAAAAGGAAUAAGAUCGCCAUACCUUUAGAGAUGCAAACCAAUUUAAGACUCUUGCAUUCUUAUAUUCUAGUGAGAUUACACGUGAAGAGAAGUGAUCAUCUACGAGGCGCCCGGAUGCUAAUAAGAGUAGCCAACAACAUAUCGAAAUUUCCAUCGCACAUCGUGCCAAUAUUAACGUCAACCGUGAUAGAAUGCCAUAGAGCGGGCUUGAAAAACGCGGCUUUCAAUUUUGCCGCUAUGCUAAUGCGUCCCGAGUAUCGUGGGCAAGUCGACGUGAAGUACAGCAAAAAGAUCGAAGCGAUCGUGAGAAAACCGCCGAGAACGAAAGAUAUUGAGAACGAGGAUGAGCCCCUCACACCGUGCCCAUACUGCAAGAGUAGAGUUCCGGAGACGGAAGUAACCUGUGAUAAAUGCAAAAAUACCAUACCUUUCUGCAUCGCGACGGGACGACAUAUCGUGGAGGAUGAUUUUGCAGUGUGUCCCCAAUGUGAUUUCCCUGCCAUUAGAAGUGAAUUUCUGAGAAUCAUUGAAUCUGAAGAAAUUUGUCCAAUGUGCUCAGCAAAGGUUUUACCUGAAGCUGUAUCGUCCAUCACUGAUAUCUAUCCAUAUCUUGACUAUCAAGAGGAAAAAAUCAUCAUAAAGGCAUAAUUUUUCUAUAUUUAGACAUAGAAUACAUUUAGCAAUGUAUACGACAGGAGAGUUGUAAGUUGUUUAGAUUCCCACAAACUAGGGAACAAAUAAUCUUUUAUAGACAUCUAUAUCUAUGCUGCACAAAUUCAAAGGUGCCUUGUUUUUAUUGUGUGCCUUAAGCAGACACCAGAUAGUUAUACAGUUUGCGUUUGCAAACAAUAGCAGUAGUAAGUAUAAUAUUCCCAUUGAGUUGAAAAUCAUAAAGCGUCAGUAUUCUCGAUGUAACAGUGCCGUCCGUUAUGAGUACAAUUUAUUCGAGUACAAGUAGAUUAAUGAAAUAACAAAUGCCAUGUAUAUGUAUGUACAAAAAAAUUAAGUUUUAUUUACUGCGCGAGUUGUUUUAAUGUAGAUAAAAUAAAAUCGCGCAUCCAACGAAUAUUCGAAAUAAAAUUUGCAAUACUUUAGUAAUUGCCAUAUCAAUAAUCUGUGUUUAUAAUUAUAACAAAUAUAACCCGUUCAGAAUAUUCAGAUUAAAAUGACAUGCAAACUGCGUUUAACAUUAAUGCAUUACAUAAUGCACACUUGACAUAAAAACCUACAAAGAUCCAUCAUAAUCAUAAUAAUAAUAAAUCUCGGUUUUAUGACUGUCAUAAUUACAGUCUCACCUAACCUAACGUAAUCGUGUAGUUCUUGCGCUUCUACGCAAUAGACAUAUCAGAAACACGUGAUUUCGCGCAGCAUGACUUUGAAGAAUCGACACGCAGAAUGACCUGUAAAAAGUCUCUCGAUUCUUAACUUACCUAAAAUCUCGCGUCAAAUUGAUCGAUGUAUACGACCCUGCGACGCGCCACCGCGAUACAGCCACGUAUUCGCGCGCUGUGUGCAUAGCUACAUUUCAUCGACGUUGUGUUGGUACGCAAUGCGCACCGGUAUACAUCGUUAGUGUCGUGCGAUAAUCGUGCGUGCGAGUUGUUUGGUUCGUGAACGGCGCCUCGUUGGCAAUAUCCAUCCGUGAUUCUCGGCGAUUAGACUUUUUCGAUUGUCGUUACUGCUCCGGCAUUCCAUUGAACGUGUUGUGGCACGUAUUCACGAGCGCAUUUACACGUGAAGGAAAGAA
rnacentral:misc_RNA from 1 species